AGCAUCUAAGCGGGAAACUCACCUCAAAACUAGUUCUUCCCAUAGAGCCGUGGUAGACCACCACGUUGAUAGGCUGGGUGUGGAAGUGCGGCAACGCAUGUAGCUGACCAGUACUAAUAGCUCAAUCGGCUUGAUUUAUG
rnacentral:rRNA from 1 species